rnacentral:rRNA from 1 species
CAGUCGCCGCGGUAACACGUAGGUGGCAAGCGUUGUCCGGAAUUAUUGGGCGUAAAGCGCGCGCAGGCGGAUCGGUCAGUCUGUCUUAAAAGUUCGGGGCUUAACCCCGUGAUGGGAUGGAAACUGCCAAUCUAGAGUAUCGGAGAGGAAAGUGGAAUUCCUAGUGUAGCGGUGAAAUGCGUAGAUAUUAGGAAGAACACCAGUGGCGAAGGCGACUUUCUGGACGAAAACUGACGCUGAGGCGCGAAAGCCAGGGGAGCGAACGGGAUUAGAUACCCCCGUAGUCCCUGUCUCUUAUACA